UACGUAGGUGGCGAGCGUUGUCCGGAUUUACUGGGCGUAAAGAGCCCGCAGGCGGUCCGUUAAGUUUCAGGUGAAAUAUCCCGGCUCAACCGGGAGGGUGCCUGGAAAACUGGCGGACUUGAGGCAGGGAGAGGGAUGUGGAAUUCCCGGUGUAGUAGUGAAAUGCGUAGAUAUCGGGAGGAACACCAGUGGCGAAGGCGGCAUCCUGGCCCUGUCCUGACGCUCAGGGGCGAAAGCGUGGGGAGCAAACCGGAUUAGAUACCCGGGUAGUCCACGCCGUAAACGAUGAGUACUAGGGGUGGGGGGUAUCGACCCCCUCCGUCCCGAAGCUAACGCGAUAAGUACUCCGCCUGGGGACUACGGCCGCAAGGCUAAA
rnacentral:rRNA from 1 species